GGAGAGGUGACCGAGUGGCCGAAGGUGCUCGCCUGCUAAGCGAGUGUGCCCCACAAGGGCACCGUGGGUUCGAAUCCCACCCUCUCCGCCA
rnacentral:tRNA from 2 species